GGCAUUCUUAAAGAAGGGAAAGUCUGAGGUAUCCCAGCUUAAAUGGGACAUGGACUGAAAAUCAGUGGCAAGAGCUCUAAAUGAGUGACGGACAGUGAGUGUCUACAGUUAUCUGUAAAACAUGCUGAAGGCUCUGUCAUGAUCUGGACUUAAUUUCAGCCAGUGGUGUUAGAAAUCUUGUCAAAAUUGAACUGCAAACACAGAAAAGCAUCAGAUUUGGAUCCAUCAUCAAAAAACAUCUGGAAAUUUUAUUGCAUGACAGCAGGUUCAUAUUUUAUUAUGACAAUCAUCCUAAACACACUGCCAGUACAGAAACAGCAUACCUGGAUAGAAAAAUACACAGUGAAAUACAAUCAGUCGUGGACUGGCCUCCCCAGAGCCCGGACAUUAUUGAGGCCGUGUGAGAUCAGAACACAAGGCAAAAGAAAAGAGGAGCUCUGAUGGUCCUUGGUGUCUGCAGACAGAUGCUGCCUUCGCUCUCUCUGAGCCUUAAUUGCAGGAGUGGAGUCAGGUGUGUUGGAGUCGGCGUAGAGCUCCACCAGCUGCAACCAGCCAUCAUCAACAUCUCUUCAUAUAGUCAGCCCUGCUGUCAGCUCAUAGACUCGACUAUAGCCCGCCUGCUCCUUUUCAGAGAAUCAGUCAUCUCUAGAAAUGGAUAUCUUUCUGUGCAAAAGUCAGAAUAUGUGGGCAAGAUUUUUGCUGUCAUAAGCUGUCUGGGUUUUUUUGUUUUGUUUCUUGCCUUAAUACCACCGACCAAUCCCAUUUGAGCAGGCUUUGGUUGCAUGCAGGUAAACCGAAGUACAGAGAGAGAACACAUUUUCUAAAAUGCAAUCUUGAAACCAUCGACUGUUGCCUGCUGGCGGUCUUGCUUUCUAUUGGCUUUCAAAAUGUAUCUGCAUUCACGAGCAAUGACAAGUAGUCUUGGCCUUGAUACCUGAUGGAUACACCUGAAGCCUUGAAGUGUGGGCCGCUGUCCACAGAGGCUGUGUUUAAACAAUAGCCACAGGGCUCUCAGAGUGCACAAUUCCUGGCUGUCUGUCCUGAAUCCUUUAUACUUAAGCCUCACUGGAUCCCUCUCCAACUUGGCUUGUCUGUCAGUCUUGGAACCCCAGCUACCCCCUCCACCUUACAACCCGGGAGGGUGGGGCAGUUUAGGUUUAGGCUGAGCUGUUUCCCUAACACACUUCAGCCUGGUUUGCCUCUGCACUUCUCUGCUCAGUAAGCCCAACCUUCAACUCAGCCCCAGAGCUCCAGUUACCAGCCUGAGCAACUCCUACCUUCUUUACAACGUUCUUGCUAUAAUAAGUCGCCAUUUGCAUUUAAUCGCUCUCAUUCGUUCGUCUGCUUUUUGAGUUCACAUUUUCUGAUCCCCCCACCACUUUAAUGAUAGGCUUAAAAGAGCAAACUCAUCAUUCUUUUCACAAGUUUUACCAAGCAUAUUCAUGUUCUGUUACUAGGGCUCGAUGAAUAAAUAAGCCCAUAGACAGUGGCCAUAUCUGUCUAUGGAAUUUUCUCUUAUUUUAUUAAUUCCCACCCUUUACUACUACCCUCGUAAGGAUGAUAUAUGACCAAGGCACUGGCCCUUUGAAACACAGGAUUGUCUGCCACUGUCUGUAAUUAACAUGAGCAGGUACACACAGAAAGCACAGAGAUCUGACAGUAUUUCCCUUGAAUGGGCUGAGUGGGCCCAGGGACACCAUUACCCUAACUGAUGAGGGCUAUUUCUCAUUCCUGUCCAGUCACUUCACAGCCAUUAGUGUGUGCAUUAUCGACCUGUGGAGAGGUCUUUGUGCUCAUGGGGAAACACCUGCAGGUCAAAUCAUCCCACCUCCUCUACCCCUUCUCAGUCCUCCUCUAACCCUCAUCAGCAGGCAUAAGAUCAGGGAGAGAGAAUAAGAACAGUGUUCCCCAUGUGGGAGAUGAAAACGAGAGAAGAGAGAGCAAGAUGGCGACCGGUGCAAUCUAAUAUAUGGAGAGUGGGUGUUAAUAGAUACUGUACAGUAUGCGUUCAAGUGCAUUGCCCAAGUCAAAGGAGACAGGGCAGGUAUAUUUUCACUUUUUGUUCCAUAUUAAAAGUGCAAACACUCCUAUAGUUAAAACAUUAAAACAAUAACUAAUAAUUUGGACUCAAAGUUGAAUUUC